GACGAACGCUGGCGGCGUGCUUAACACAUGCAAGUCGAACGGAAAGGCCCUGCUUUUGUGGGGUGCUCGAGUGGCGAACGGGUGAGUAACACGUGAGUAACCUGCCCUUGACUUUGGGUUAACUUCAGGAAACUGGGGCUAAUACCGGAUAGGAGCUCCUGCUGCAUGGAGGGGGUUGGAAAGUUUCGGCGGUUGGGGAUGGACUCGCGGCUUAUCAGCUUGUUGGUGGGGUAGUGGCUUACCAAGGCUUUGACGGGUAGCCGGCCUGAGAGGGUGACCGGCGACAUUGGGCCUGCGAUACGGCCCAGACUCCUACGGGAGGCAGCAGUGGGGAAUAUUGCACAAUGGGCGGAAGCCUGAUGCAGCAACGCCGCGUGCGGGAUGACGGCCUUCGGGUUGUAAACCGCUUUCGCCUGUGACGAAGCGUGAGUGACGGUAAUGGGUAAAGAAGCACCGGCUAACUACGUG
rnacentral:rRNA from 1 species